rnacentral:miRNA from 1 species
UUUAACAUGGAGGUGCUUUCU